GAUGAACGCUGGCGGCGUGCCUAAUACAUGCAAGUCGAGCGAACAGACGAGGAGCUUGCUCCUCUGACGUUAGCGGCGGACGGGUGAGUAACACGUGGAUAACCUACCUAUAAGACUGGGAUAACUUCGGGAAACCGGAGAUAAUACCGGAUAAUAUAUUGAACCGUAUGGUUCAAUAGUGAAAGACGGUUUUGCUGUCACUUAUAGAUGGAUCCGCGCCGCAUUAGCUAGUUGGUAAGGUAACGGCUUACCAAGGCAACGAUGCGUAGCCGACCUGAGAGGGUGAUCGGCCACACUGGAACUGAGACACGGUCCAGACUCCUACGGGAGGCAGCAGUAGGGAAUCUUCCGCAAUGGGCGAAAGCCUGACGGAGCAACGCCGCGUGAGUGAUGAAGGUCUUCGGAUCGUAAAACUCUGUUAUUAGGGAAGAACAAAUGUGUAAGUAACUAUGCACGUCUUGACGGUACCUAAUCAGAAAGCCACGGCUAACUACGUG
rnacentral:rRNA from 1 species